AGUCGUCAACGAGUUUGAUCCUGGCUCAGGAUAAACGUUGCGGUGUGCCUUAUGCAUGCAAGUCGUACGAGGUUAUGGUCUUCGGAUUGUAACCGAGUGGCGAACGGUUGAGUAACACGUAAGUAACCUGCCUGCAAGUGGGGAAUAACCUGUCGAAAGGCAGGCUAAUACCGCAUAUGAUAAUCGAGUAUUGCUUGAUUAUUAAAGCCUUAGGGUGCUUGGAGAUGGGCUUGCGUCUGAUUAGCUAGUUGGUGAGGUAAUGGCUCACCAAGGCGAUGAUCAGUAGCUGGUCUGAGAGGAUGGUCAGCCAGAUGGGGAUUGAGAUACGGCCCCAACUCCUACGGGAGGCAGCAGCAGGGAAUAUUGGGCAAUGGGCGAAAGCCUGACCCAGCGACGCCGCGUGAAGGAAGAAGGUCUUCGGAUUGUAAACUUCUUUUAUUAGGGACGAACAGAUGACGGUACCUAAUGAAUAAGCCACGGCUAACUACGUG
rnacentral:rRNA from 1 species